UCCUCAGGGCGUCCGAGUUGUAAUCUAUAGAGGCGUUUUCCGUGCCGGACCGUGUCCAAGUCCCUUGGAACAGGGUAUCAAAGAGGGUGACAAUCCCGUACUUGACACGACGACCGGUGCUCUGUGAUACGUCUUCUACGAGUCGAGUUGUUUGGGAAUGCAGCUCAAAAUGGGUGGUGAGUUCCAUCUAAAGCUAAAUAUUGGCGAGAGACCGAUAGCGAACAAGUACCGUGAGGGAAAGAUGAAAAGCACUUUGGAAAGAGAGUUAAACAGUACGUGAAAUUGUUGAAAGGGAAACGAUUGAAGUCAGUCGUGACUGUUGGGCUCAGCAGGUUCUGCCUGUGUAUUCCCUUCAGUCGGGUCAACAUCAGUUUUGACCGGUGGAUAAGGGCAGCAGGAAUGUGGCACCCUCGGGUGUGUUAUAGCCUGUCGUCGCAUACAUCGGUCGAGACUGAGGAACGCAGCUCGCCUUUAUGGCCGGGGUUCGCCCACGUCCGAGCUUAGGAUGUUGACAUAAUGGCUUUAAACGACCCGUCUUG
rnacentral:rRNA from 1 species